rnacentral:rRNA from 1 species
ACGGGGUGCAGCAGGCGCGAAACCUCUACAAUGCACGAAAGUGUGAUAGGGGGAUUCCACGUGCAAGCUUUGCUUGCUUUUCUCAAGUCUAAACCGCUUGGGGAAUAAGGGCUGGGCAAGACCCGUGCCAGCCGCCGCGGUAACACGGGCAGCUCAAGUGGCGUUCGCGUAUAUUGGGCCUAAAGCGUGCGUAGCCUGUCAGGUAAGUUCUUGGUGAAAGCUUGCGACUUAAUCGUGAGAAUUGCCAGGAAAACUGCCCGACUUGGGACCGGAAGAGGUCGGAGGUAUUUCUUGGGUAGGGGUAAAAUCCUGUAAUCCUUGAAGGACCAUCGGUGGCGAAGGCGUCCGACUGGGACGGGUCCGACGGUGAGGCACGAAAGCUAGGGGAGCGACCCGGAUUAGAUACCCGGUUAGUCCUAGCCGUAAAUGAUGUCUGUUUGGUAUUGCGUGGCUUACGAGGCCCCGCAGUGCCGUAGGGAAGCCGUUAAACAGACCGCCUGGGAGUACGCCGCAAGGC